rnacentral:Y_RNA from 1 species
GGCUGCUGCAAUGGUAGUGAGUUAUCAGAACUUAUUAACAUUACUGUCACGAAAGUUGGUAUACAACCCCACGCUGCUAAAUUUGACCGGCUUAAA